GACAAAUAGGUAUCAUUGGGGUUGAUUCAUACACUCCAUAGGGUAUAAAGUAUAAUUUCACAGAAAUGGCAUUUUUGAAAACAGAAAACAAUAUAUAUUGAUGACAAUAACAUUUCAGUCACACAGAAUCUCACUGGAGUGAGAAGUAAAGAGAAACGCUUUGCACCCAGUAGGGGAAACAGAGGGAUAUUCUGCAUCUGUUUAAGAGAGCAGUAAGAACAAAUUCAGUGCUGCAUUUAAAGACUUUAACCUACUUCAAGACAUUUUAAGUCUGAGUAAAUACAAGUGAUUUUCAAUAUGGAAAAAGAAAGUGUCACACUUGCACUAGGUAGUUUUAUAGUAUUUUUAGAAGGAGUCACGCUUAGAAUAUCAAACAUUUGCAGUUACUAUGCUCUUUUACAGACAAGAGCUACAGAUUGCUAUUGUGAUCGGAGCAUUCUAAAACAAGAAUUACUCAGCAAAACUAUAAAAUUGAGAACAGAUUUUCAGCUGAAGGUAUCGUUAAGAUGAAAACCAAGACCACCUUAGUCAAUUUACUCAACUGCUUCAGAGACACCUCUGAGAACCUCACUGUCCUGGAGCCUUUAAUAAACCCUACUGGGAGAAACAUCAGCAUAUUAACAAGUGAAAAUUGAUCCCUUUCCUCUCACUCAAGAAUAACUUAUGUACACUCCAUUUGGAGUCUUAGUAGGGGAAAAAAUUGUCUUAGUAAUUAAGGCAA
rnacentral:lncRNA from 1 species